UCGAUAGCCCAGGCCAGCCUGGAACUUUCUAUGUAGCCAAGGUUGGCCUCUAACUCAAGAUCUUCUUGACUCAACAUCAGAUGUUCUGAGAUGACAGACAUGUGCUAUAUGCCUUGUUUCUUUGAUUUCUUGUUUGACCCAAGCUUGAGUCAUCUGGGCAAGGAGAACCUCAACUGAAGAAACACCUCCUCCAUCAGAGUGGCCUGUGGACAGCAUUUUGAUUAAUGACUGACGUGGGAGAGACCAGCCCACUGCGGGCAAUGCCACUCCUGGGCAGAGGUUCUAAGUUGUAUAACUAAGCAAGCCACGCCCAUGAAGAGCAAUGCAGUAAGCAGCAUUCCUCUGACUUCUGCUUCCGUUCCUGCCUCCAGAUGCCUGCCUGGGGCUCCUCCCCUGACCUCAUCCAGUCACCGACUAUUGCCUGAAGUGUUAGUUGAAAGAAACCCUUCCCUCCCUUGCUGUUUUUGGUCAGCAUUUUAGCACUGCAAUAGGAAGAAAACUAAGACUACAUCA